rnacentral:rRNA from 1 species
CCUACGGGAGGCAGCAGUGGGGAAUAUUGGGCAAUGGGCGCAAGCCUGACCCAGCAACGCCGCGUGAAGGAAGAAGGCUUUCGGGUUGUAAACUUCUUUUGUCAGGGACGAAGCAAGUGACGGUACCUGACGAAUAAGCCACGGCUAACUACGUGCCAGCAGCCGCGGUAAUACGUAGGUGGCAAGCGUUAUCCGGAUUUACUGGGUGUAAAGGGCGUGUAGGCGGGGAAGCAAGUCAGAUGUGAAAACCACGGGCUCAACCUGUGGCCUGCAUUUGAAACUGUUUUUCUUGAGUACUGGAGAGGCAGACGGAAUGCCUAGUGGAGCGGUGAAAUGCGUAGAUAUUAGGAGGAACACCAGUGGCGAAGGCGGUCUGCUGGACAGCAACUGACGCUGAGGCGCGAAAGCGUGGGGAGCAAACAGGAUUAGAUACCCUGGUAGUC